rnacentral:rRNA from 1 species
AGAGUUUGAUCAUGGCUCAGGAUGAACGCUAGCUACAGGCUUAACACAUGCAAGUCGAGGGGCAGCAUUGGAGUAGCAAUACUCAGAUGGCGACCGGCGCACGGGUGAGUAACACGUAUCCAACCUGCCGCUUACUCGGGGAUAGCCUUUCGAAAGAAAGAUUAAUACCCGAUGGUAUAAAGAGUUCGCAUGUUCUCUUUAUUAAAGAAUUUCGGUAAGCGAUGGGGAUGCGUUCCAUUAGAUAGUUGGCGGGGUAACGGCCCACCAAGUCUACGAUGGAUAGGGGUUCUGAGAGGAAGGUCCCCCACAUUGGAACUGAGACACGGUCCAAACUCCUACGGGAGGCAGCAGUGAGGAAUAUUGGUCAAUGGACGAGAGUCUGAACUAGCCAAAAGUAGCGUGAAGGAUGACUGCCCUAUGGGUUGUAAACUUCUUUUAUAAGGGAAUAAAGUGAGGGACGUGUCCCUUUUUGUAUGUACCUUAUGAAUAAGGAUCGGCUAACUCCGUGCCAGCCGCGGC